rnacentral:rRNA from 1 species
UACUGGAGACAGGUGCUGCAUGGCUGUCGUCAGCUCGUGUCGUGAGAUGUUGGGUUAAGGUCCCGCAACGAGCGCAACCCUUGCCUUUAGUUGCCAGCAGUUCGGCUGGGCACUCUAAAGGGACUGCCGGUGUUAAACCGGAGGAAGGUGGGGAUGACGUCAAGUCCUCAUGGCCUUUAUGACCAGGGCUACACACGUACUACAAUGGCCGAUACAAAGGGCAGCGACACUGCGAGGUGAAGCCAAUCCCGUAAAAUCGGUCUCAGUCCGGAUUGGAGUCUGCAACUCGACUCCAUGAAGUUGGAAUCGCUAGUAAUCGUGGAUCAGCAUGCCACGGUGAAUACGUUCCCGGGCCUU